ensembl:lncRNA
CACGGUUUCCUAUAAAUGAGAGAGUUGUGUGUAACAUAUACUGUGCACAUGUGUUUAACAUGUGUUUAACAUGUGUGUGUGUGUGUGUGUGUUGCGUACAUGUGUGUGUCUUGGGUUCUAAAGGCCCCUUGAUUCCCUCCUUUACUGUCAGACCUCUGGGGACCUCGGCUUCAAACAGGAAGUGACAGUUGAUCACCACGGCGACCGUGUUCCCAUCAGGGAGGGUUUGAGCCGCUACAUUCCAUUGAACCGUUGCAUUCCAAGGAAGGCCUCGACUGGCUGCUUGAGCAGAACCAAGGUCGACCACUGCAGCGGCGCCGUAGCACCGUGACGAUCCAGAGCUGUUGACACACGCAUGUGUUUGGAGAGAGGUGUCUGCAGGCUUCUUCCAUGCGGGCGUGUGUGUGUGGGUCAGAGUCCACACACUGACACCAUUGACGCUGAAUACAACUGGGCUGGGACAACAGCACAGUCACUGCUCUGUGAGUGCACAAUAUGGCCGUCAUGCGUGAUGCCAGUGCACGUACACUGAAGUACCAUCACCACGGCGACCAACCCAUCACGGCCGAUUGUAACGGAGUGCGGCACGGAGUGAAGUGUCCGAGGAGUGUAUCUACAGAGCGUACAAAACGUGACAGAAGUACCCAUCACCACGGUAACCGCCAGCACUCAGCCUCCACCAGACAAGAUGGCAAGGUGGUGAUCAUCUGGCACUUACACUUGUGUCUCCAUACACACACAAAAACACCCACAUACACCCCCAUAACCCCCCCCCACACACACACACACAGACACACACAGACAAAACAAGCCCAUUUUCCACCAGCAGAUCCCAGGACCAGACGGGGCUUUCCCCUGCCUCUCUGCCAGACCUUUCCGGGACAUCGCUCCCACCUAUCGGCUGCUGUUUCCUGCCCCUCUGACUCCUGAUAGGAGGCCUGGGAAAGAGAACACAAGGUCGUCAGUGAAGGCAAGGUCAUCUGAGAAUAGAAAUUAACUAAAAAUAUGAAGAAAACAUGUCGAGCCCAACUGUCCCUGCGUAGUCAGCAGUCCCUGCACCGACGCUCCAGAGAGGGUUGUGGUGUCCAAGGACAACGUGGUUCAGAUCCAAGGGCCCUGCAAUGACGUUCCUUGGAAUACUGCAUUGUGCCUGUUUAUUGUUUGUUUGCUUGUGUGUAGCCUGACGCCAUAUAGUAUAGACGAGUGCUAUGAUGCUAUACUGUUUAUGUGUUUAGUCACACCAUGUGUGUUUAUGUGCCUUGACGCUUUCCAUAUGAUGCGGUUUUAUGCAUGUGUGUUUGUGUUGAUGGCUUGAAGGGCUUCAAUUGUUAUUGUGUGUACGUAUGUGUGUGUGUGUGUGAAGUUGUUUGUGUGUGUGUAUUUCAGUGCAGAAAAUACUUUUAGGCAACUCCAUGAAUAGUAUUUGCAUAUGUGCAGUAUUAGGUGUUAGGCCGUAGUACAUGAUGUUUGUUUUGCGUUGUGUACAGCACUGCAUUCUGGGUGACAGUGGGUUCCGUUUUGAGAUAAAACCAGAUAAACCAUUGAGCAAUAAACACAUCCGCCGUUUAGAAGGAUCAGAGAUAAACCCAGACGUUGUACACAGUAAACUGAUACACACACACACACGCCUACGUACAUACACACAGACACACCAGACCCACACACUAGCUUGAUGUCUAUUGUGAUCCAUACUAUAGGAAAACAUCAGCUG